UCACGUUCUCACGCUUACCUGUUUCUCUCCCAGUCUGUCUGUCUGACUCACCAGACUUUAUUAACAUACAACGCAAGUCAAAAUGUUGCAUUAUUUUUGUUAAACUUGCCAAAUUGCCAUUACUGUGCGAGCAGGGAUUUUGAUGCCCCCUCUCUCUCUGUAGGUAACGUGGGCUCUUCAUGACCUCUCGUCCCACCAGCUGUUCUCUGAUUGGUCGAGGUUGUACCUGCUCAGGCUGGCCAGACAGGAAGGCGAUAAUGACGGGGAUCGACGGCACCGGAUGAAGAGUGUGAACCCCAGGUGGUGCUGUUACAUGAUGUUCUGGGGAACCCCUUCAUAGCGCAAGACGCUGCAGAGGAGUCAGGCUAUGCAGCGCGGCCUCCGCUGUGGGGGCGGAGGUUAAAGGUCAGCUGCUCUUCCUGAUUGGAAGAACAUCUGUCAUUGUUUCAGACACACAGAUCUGUGUGUAUGAAACUACAAGAGUUUUUGUUUCUGAAAAUGUCAGCUGACCUCAAACUUAAAGGUCAGAGCCACCUGAGAACUCAUCAUUCCCUCCCUUUUAUUUCCUGUUGGACAGAAAUACGGAGAACUUGGAUAUUUUCAUCUGUUACUUCCCCAGGGUAGGCUGAGCAUCAGAGGCUCUGUGUCCGAAUCUCUCUGCUAGCUAGCAUGCUAAGUGCCCUAACAUGCAACGUAGCAUAGCAUCCACAGGGAAUAUGUGUGUACAUUUAAGGAAAAGAUAAAACAGUAAAUUCUUAAUUGAUUUGCGAAAUGGAUCUUUAUGUUGACUAUAUUAAUACCAAUCGCAUAAACAACAAAAAUAAAACUCACCAUCAAAUCA